rnacentral:rRNA from 1 species
AGUGAACGCUGGCGGUAGGCCUAACACAUGCAAGUCGAACGGCAGCACAGUAAGAGCUUGCUCUUACGGGUGGCGAGUGGCGGACGGGUGAGGAAUACAUCGGAAUCUACUUUUUCGUGGGGGAUAACGUAGGGAAACUUACGCUAAUACCGCAUACGACCUACGGGUGAAAGCAGGGGCUCUUCGGACCUUGCGCGAUUGAAUGAGCCGAUGUCGGAUUAGCUAGUUGGCGGGGUAAAGGCCCACCAAGGCGACGAUCCGUAGCUGGUCUGAGAGGAUGAUCAGCCACACUGGAACUGAGACACGGUCCAGACUCCUACGGGAGGCAGCAGUGGGGAAUAUUGGACGAUGGGCGCAAGCCUGAUCCAGCCAUACCGCGUGGGUGAAGAAGGCCUUCGGGUUGUAAAGCCCUUUUGUUGGGAAAGAAAAGCAGCAGGUUAAUACCCCGCUGUUCUGACGGUACCCAAAGAAUAAGCACCGGUUAACUUCGUG